CCCUUAGAUGUUCUGGGCCGCACGCGCGCUACACUGAACAGUUCAACAAGUCUUAACCUUGGCCGAUAGGUCUGGGUAAUCUUUGAACGCUGUUCGUGAUUGGGAUAGACCUUUGCAAUUAUGGUUCUUCAACGAGGAAUUCCUAGUAAACGCAAGUCAUCAGCUUGCAUUGAUUACGUCCCUGCCCUUUGUACACACCGCCCGUCGCACCUACCGAUUGAAUGGUCCGGUGAAAUCUCGGGACGGCGGCUUGGUCGCUUGCGUCCGACUGCUGAAACUUGAUUAAACCAUAUCAUUUAGAGGAAGGUGAAGUCGUAACA
rnacentral:rRNA from 1 species